AACGGAUAAAAGGUACUCCGGGGAUAACAGGCUGAUACCGCCCAAGAGUUCAUAUCGACGGCGGUGUUUGGCACCUCGAUGUCGGCUCAUCACAUCCUGGGGCUGAAGUAGGUCCCAAGGGUAUGGCUGUUCGCCAUUUAAAGUGGUACGCGAGCUGGGUUUAGAACGUCGUGAGACAGUUCGGUCCCUAUCUGCCGUGGGCGCUGGAGAACUGAGGGGGGCUGCUCCUAGUACGAGAGGACCGGAGUGGACGCAUCACUGGUGUUCGGGUUGUCAUGCCAAUGGCACUGCCCGGUAGCUAAAUGCGGAAGAGAUAAGUGCUGAAAGCAUCUAAGCACGAAACUUGCCCCGAGAUGAGUUCUCCCUGAGACUUAGAGUCUCCUGAAGGAACGUUGAAGACGACGACGUUGAUAGGCCGGGUGUGUAAGCGCAGCGAUGCGUUGAGCUAACCGGUACUAAUGAACCGUGAGGCUUAACCUUACA
rnacentral:rRNA from 1 species